GGCCAUAGCUCAGUGGCAGAGCAUCUGCCUUGCAUUCAGAAGGUCCCAGGUUCAAUCCCUGGCUGGCAAACA